rnacentral:rRNA from 1 species
GAUCCUGGCUCAGGACGAACGCUGGCGGCGCGCCUAACACAUGCAAGUCGAACGGAGAUUACAGGCGGAAGUUUUCGGAUGGAAGCUUGUAAACUUAGUGGCGGACGGGUGAGUAACACGUGAGCAACCUGCCUAUCAGAGGGGGAUAACGAUUGGAAACGAUCGCUAAUACCGCAUGACAUAGCGGAACCGCAUGGUUCUGUUAUCAAAGUAUUUUAUCGCUGAUAGAUGGGCUCGCCGG